UAUGAGGCUGUGUUUCGGUCGUUAGCUGUAUAUGGGCCUACUCGAUGGUGAGUCGUGGCGGUUCGUGCGGGCCUUUUGCCUUACGUGUCAGGUGCGAGCAUCUGUUUUCUCGCUGCUUUAUUGGUUUUGUGGGCGGUGGCGGCUGGGCGGGUGUGUUCUUCGUCAGUUCGCAGAGGUUCGCAGAGAGGGCGGCGUUGUUCUCUUCAUUGGGUUGUGCUUGCUGCUUCUGCUGCUAGGGGCUUUGUCUUUCGCAUUGGCCUUCUCUGGUCUCUGGGUGGUCGGGGGCGUUCGGCGGCGGCCGGUUGCGGGGCUCCGACGGACUGUUUGUGUCCCUGCGCUGCAUCUGAGGGUUAAGAAAGAUGAGCUAAUAAUGUUUAAGGUAAGGUAGGAUAGAUGGCUGAUAGUUCUGCAUUUAUCUACACAAGGCAAGAAACAUGAGGAAAUCAACUAAACUUGGGAUUAUGGCUCAUCUUCUGUAAGAAUUCGAAUGGCAAAAAUAUGUUUUCUCAUAGUGAUGUGUACCCUUCUAAAUGCAGGUGACAUGGAUGAGGCGGAAUUAGUUCUUUUCAGACAAUUGGGUUACAAUAGUUCUUGAGCUAGGCACAGUUCCAGAGCGGUUGCCUAUCAUAUUUUCUCCCUGUGAAAGACUAUUGUCUCCCAUUGAUUUAGUUAGGCCUUCCAGGACCUAAUUCUUUUACUUAGAAACUGGGAGCCCGAGGUACCGAAUAUCACUUAUGGCUGCUGGAGAGGGUUCUGUUGUUGAAAUGAUCUUUGGUGAUGUAGCUCAACGGUCCUAAAUUGUAUUCUAAAGGCAGCAGUGCCUUUGUUGAACUUGAGGCUGGUUGCUCCAAUGCCAUCAGUACAGUGGAUAAGAUGCUUCCACUGGGUGCCGAAGCUGCUGGAGAGCCCAGUAAAAAUGAAAAGGGCCCAGCAAACUGCUGAUGGAGAAGACCAGGCGGUUAGGCUGGCAUGGUCCUUCAUCUAGAGGCACAAGCUACAUUGCCGGGGACUUCCAUUAAGGAGGGUUCUGUUAAAUUACUUGUGGCCAUUGCAGCACUUGAAUAAGAACACAAGCUACCUCACCUCCUACUGUCCUGGGAAGUCCUCACAAAGAAGAUUCUGCUAAUGAGGGCAAGACUGUGGCUAGCUUCAAGGAAAAAGGUAAAGUCUAGGAAAACACAUAUAUUUGUUUGCCAUGUACCAUCUAUCCAUCAAUGGCCCUGUUUGGAUCCCAGUGCUAGAGCUAGUUGGAGCUAGUUGGAGCUGAACUAACCCUCAAAGUAUCCAAACAUAUGUGCUAGUUUGGGUUAGAUGGAAACUAACCCACCAAAAAAACUAUCCCUGAGAAAAGGUGCUAAUUGGAGCUAGUUGGGGUAUACCAGUAAAAAAAAUCCCCAUCCUCCGGCAUCUAAUCUUAUCCUUUCCCAUCCUCCCGCAUCCACCAGGGUCGCUUGACCGCGCUCGCCCCAGUCGGCCGCGCUCACCAUCGCCUGCCGCCGCAGACCGCCCGCGAAUGCCGCCCCCGUCCUCCUCCAACUCCCUCACCAGCCCGCGACAGCCACCGUCGGCCACGCUCGCGACAGCCCCCGUCCUCCUCCAACUCCCUCACCAGCCCGCGACAGCCA